rnacentral:snRNA from 14 species
AGCUUUGCACAGUGGCAGUAUCGUAGCCAAUGAGGUUUAUCCGAGGCGCGAUUAUUGCUAAUUGAAAACUAUAAGAGUUGUCUUGGACAUGGAUCUGUUCCCAGAAAUAAAACCCUCACUAAGA